rnacentral:rRNA from 1 species
UCAGUGCUGCAGCUAACGCAUUAAGCAUUCCGCCUGGGGAGUACGGCCGCAAGGCUGAAACUCAAAGGAAUUGACGGGGGCCCGCACAAGCGGUGGAGCAUGUGGUUUAAUUCGAAGCUACGCGAAGAACCUUACCAGGUCUUGACAUACUAUGCAAAUCUAAGAGAUUAGACGUUCCCUUCGGGGACAUGGAUACAGGUGGUGCAUGGUUGUCGUCAGCUCGUGUCGUGAGAUGUUGGGUUAAGUCCCGCAACGAGCGCAACCCUUAUUAUCAGUUGCCAGCAUUAAGUUGGGCACUCUGGUGAGACUGCCGGUGACAAACCGGAGGAAGGUGGGGAUGACGUCAAAUCAUCAUGCCCCUUAUGACCUGGGCUACACACGUGCUACAAUGGAUGGUACAACGAGUUGCGAACUCGCGAGAGUAAGCUAAUCUCUUAAAGCCAUUCUCAGUUCGGAUUGUAGGCUGCAACUCGCCUACAUGAAGUCGGAAUCGCUAGUAAUC